GAGGAGAGAGUGGUAGAGAAAAAGGUAAGUGUUGAGUUAGUGAAGGGAGAAGAAAAAGAAGAGAAAAUAUGUGAGGGUAAGUUGGAAAAAGAUGAGAAGAAGAGGGGAGAGAAAAAAAUUGAAAAAGAGGAAAAAAGUGAAAAAGAUGGGAGAAUUCUUCCUUACUGAUGACUUGGGUCCAAGCCCAUCAUGGACCCAUCACUUGUGGACUAAAUCAACACAUGGAGAAGGGGUAAAACUGUCCAAAUGAAGACCACAACUGCUGGAAG
rnacentral:lncRNA from 1 species